rnacentral:rRNA from 1 species
UACGAAGGGGGGCUAGCGUUUGCUCGGGAAUCACUGGGGCGUAAAGGGGUGCGUAGGCGGGGUCUUUUUUUUUUUUUAAGUCAGGGGGGUGAAAUCCUGGAGCUCAACUCCAGAACUGCCUUUUUGAUACUGAGGAUCUUGAGUUCGGGGAGAGGUGAGUGGAACUGCGAGUGUAGAGGUGAAAUUUCGUAGAUAUUUCGCAAGAACACCAGUGGGCGAAGGCGGCUCACUGGCCCCGAUACUGACGCUGAGGCACGGAAAAGCGUGGGGGGGAGCAAACAGGG